rnacentral:misc_RNA from 1 species
GAAAUGCGAUAAGUAAUGUGAAUUGCAGAAUUCAGUGAAUCAUCGAAUCUUUGAACGCACAUUGCGCCCGCCAGUAUUCUGGCGGGCAUGCCUGUUCGAGCGUCAUUUCAACCAUCAAGCCCCCGGCUUGUGUUGGGGACCUGCGGCUGCCCGCAGGCCCUGAAAAACAGUGGCGGGCUCGCUGUCACACCGAGCGUAGUAGCAUACAUUCUCGCUCAGGGCGUGCUGCGGGUUCCGGCCGUUAAACGACCUUCAUAACCCAAGGUUGACCUCGGAUCAGGUAGGGAUACCCGCUGAACUUAAGC